UGGGGAAUAUUGCACAAUGGGCGAAAGCCUGAUGCAGCGACGCCGCGUGAGGGAUGACGGCCUUCGGGUUGUAAACCUCUUUCAGCAGGGACGAAGCGCAAGUGACGGUACCUGCAGAAGAAGCACCGGCUAACUACGUGCCAGCAGCCGCGGUAAUA
rnacentral:rRNA from 1 species